rnacentral:rRNA from 1 species
UACGGAGGGGGCAAGCGUUGUUCGGAAUUAUUGGGCGUAAAGGGCACGUAGGUGGACUAGUAAGUUAAAAGUGAAAUACCAAAGCUUAACUUUGGAGCUGCUUUUAAUACUGCUAGACUAGAGGUCGAAAGAGGAUAGCGGAAUUCCUAGUGUAGAGGUGAAAUUCGUAGAUAUUA